rnacentral:rRNA from 1 species
AGAGUUUGAUCCUGGCUCAGGACGAACGCUGGCGGCGUGCCUAACACAUGCAAGUCGAGCGAUGAAACCCUUCGGGGUGGAUUAGCGGCGGACGGGUGAGUAACACGUGGGUAACCUGCCUCAAAGAGGGGAAUAGCCUCCCGAAAGGGAGAUUAAUACCGCAUAAUAUGUUUUGAUCGCAUGAUCGAGACAUCAAAGGAUUCUCUUUAGAGUUUCCACUUUGAGAUGGACCCGCGGCGCAUUAGCUAGUUGGUGAGGUAACGGCCCACCAAGGCAACGAUGCGUAGCCGACCUGAGAGGGUGAUCGGCCACAUUGGAACUGAGACACGGUCCAGACUCCUACGGGAGGCAGCAGUGGGGAAUAUUGCGCAAUGGGGGAAACCCUGAUGCAGCAACGCCGCGU